rnacentral:lncRNA from 1 species
UAGAAGAAGAAAAAGAAGAAAAAAAUAAUAGUUUCCCCUGCAGCACUGAUGAGCAAUUCAGUACAACCAUUCAUGAUUUGCCUAUCUCCUCUCACUGGACAUUCCAGAAACAGUGUAACCACUACCUCUGAUUCUUCGGUGUAACUUGGGUAUUACUUGAUCCUUUUCCCAGGAUACGUUAGAUCAAGGGGCAGUAGCCAUUAACAGCCUUUGAAUAAUUCACAACAGCAUGAUGGCAAUGUCAAACUGAGAACAGGUUCCAUCUCAGCUCUCUGAAAGGCAAAAUCCCCAUACUUAACAUAAAGGUCCCCAUUACUUUUCCAAUCAGUGCCAUUUGAAUGACUCUUCCAUAUUCCGUCUGCUGCAUUGAACUGCAUUUCUAGAAAUCUGCAUCUAGUCACCACUGCUACUUCCCCAUCUCUUCUGGUCUCUGCCAAAUGGUUUUUGAAUGUAUGGCAGAGUUUCUUUCACUUCUCCACUGAUUUCUGGGGCAGGAGAGUGGGAGGGAGGAGGAAUAGCCUCCACGCCUCCAACCCUGAAUUCUCGCACUCACGCAUCGCAAAGGCCAUUGAUCUGGUCUGCAAGGUUCAGGGGCUGGGGCCGGUGUCAGCCUUUCAUUUCCAGUUACAGAGGUGACACAAGAACUGGAGCAGAAGUCUAGAAAUGCAGAUGGGAGCAUCUGGAUACUGUACCUGAGAGUUACAUGGCUGACUUGAUAUAAAUAAACAACAUAAUGUACACA